rnacentral:rRNA from 1 species
AGCACCUCAAGUGGUCAGGAUGAUUAUUGGGCCUAAAGCAUCCGUAGCUCGUUUUGUUAAGUUUUCGGUUUAAAUCCAUGCGCUUAACGUAUGGGCUGCCGGGAAUACUGCAUAACUAGGAAGUGGGAGAGGUAGACGGUACUCGGUAGGAAGGGGUAAAAUCCUUUGAUCUAUUGAUGACCACCUGUGGCGAAGGCGGUCUACCAGAACACGUUCGACGGUGAGGGAUGAAAGCUGGGGGAGCAAACCC